GAGAACUCUGCAUCGUUGCAUUACUCUUGAGGUCACAUCCUGGCUUCUUCAAAGGUCACUGCUUCUACUUCAGUGUGUUCACAGCCUGUAUAGAGAUCCUGCGAAUUUCUGGCAGGGGAUGGAGGGUGGCAGCAAACAUGGAGUAAACAAGACUUUCCAGAGUGUCAGCAGGCAUCAACAAUGUGGCAAGUGCUGUAACUUUUGAAGACCCCAGUCUCUAGUGGAAAACGACUAGUCCUGGUCAGGCUGUCUCUUAGUGAGCACUACAGGGAGGAGUAGACGGCUGGAGAUUCCAGAAACCAAGGGGGAAGACGACUGGGAACUUACAAAAAGUAUUUCAUGAGCAGCUUUAUGGUGAGAAAUUGAAACCUCUUGCCAACAGCCAUGUGAAUGAGCUUAGAAGCAGAUUCUCCAGCUCUUCAAAUAACUGCAUCCCUGGAGAACAACUUAAAUGCAACCUCCUGAGAGUCUCCAAGCAAGAGCUACCCAACUAAACUGCUGUGACAUUCUUCAACCUCAAAACUGGGAUGAGAUGACCAAUAU
rnacentral:lncRNA from 13 species